AUAGAUCUAAGUAGAGGCUGCGUUUCUGCCGAAACUUGGGCAACCUUUUUACACAAGCGCUGCAGUGGUCUAAAACUCCCUUUUGGACUGAGCAGCGUGUAAAGGUUGAACGGUCGAAGUUUCUCUCGACAAAGAUUAAAUAGGUAUUAAAUCUAAAAUGUAUUUUCUAAUUAUGCAUACAAAAAUACACCACGGUUUUCUAUAAGUAACUUUUAUAGAAAACUGAAACCAGUGCUGAGGCAGUGCUGGAAACCUACCCUUUAGUACAGUGUAAACUGCUGUGCUCAACCUGGACUUUGUCAAGUCUUCAAGUCCCGAAAGGUAGAUCAAUUUCACAUAAUAAAAAACACUGAACAAUUUGUGAAAAUUAAUAUUAUUGAAAUCUAACAAUUCAAUAAUAAAUAAAUAACGUUGUUAUUUAAUUAGAACUCUUGGUGUGGAGUUUGAGAAUCUCUGUAGGUCGAUGUAAACUAAAAUGGUCCUACAGGUGAUUAGAUAAAUUGUUUCUGAAAAUGUUAAAACAAAUAAUUAAAAAAUAUUUGUAAACGAUUUAUAUAAAUAUUUUUAUAAUCAGUUAAUCAAUAAUUCGUUUAGACAUUAUUGAUCGAUUGAUGAGUAUGCAAGCAUUGAACUGUGAACUACUGUGCUCUCAUGUAAAUGGAUACCCACCGUAAUUUUUCACCUGUUUUUGGAUUGCUGUCUAUAAAUAAAUUCUAAACUGA